UACGUAGGGUGCGAGCGUCAAUCGGAAUUACUGGGCGUAAAGCGUGCGCAGGCGGUCUGUUAAGACCGAUGUGAAAUCCCCGGGCUUAACCUGGGAACUGCAUUGGUGACUGGCAGGCUUUGAGUGUGACAGAGGGGGAUGGAAUUCCGCGUGUAGCAGUGAAAUGCGUAGAUAUGCGGAGGAACACCGAUGGCGAAGGCAAUCCCCUGGGCCUGCACUGACGCUCAUGCACGAAAGCGUGGGGAGCAAACAGG
rnacentral:rRNA from 1 species